AAGGGCCAUGUGGCCCUUCACAUGAUAAAAGAAGGAAGGGCCUUCUGGCCCUUUCCAAUGAAGAAAAAAAAAGAAGAUAAUAAUAAAAUGAGGCAAUGCCUCUUUUUCUCUCAGAACCGAGAGAAGGAAAGAAGAGAAAGAAAAGAUGGGGAAACUUUUCUUAUUUUUGUGAUCUACGAAGAUCUAACGGUCCGAUCUUCGAUCCGUCUUCGGAAACGUGAUCCUUGCACUUGGAUCUACGUUUCCACCGAUCGUUUUAAGGUAAUGGGUUACUUGGAACUUGCUUAAGACUACCCAAACCAUGGGUUUUGGUUUGGUGAAUUUGGGAUAGUGUCUGGAUUGGAGUCUUUAAUGGGUUCUCCAAUGUAGAGUUCAAGUCAUGGUCCAAUGCAGCCAAAAUGAGUAUUCUACUCACUGAGAAGUGUUAUUUUCAUAUAUGAUGAAUUGUAAAAUAUGUAUUGUUUUACAAACUUGAACCAACUAUAUGUUGAUUAUGAAUUGUUUUGGAUGAUUUGAGUACUUUUGAGUAUAUUGAAAUUAUGAUAUGUGGAGUAAAUGAAUGGAGUCACUGUAUGUUAUGGUUGGGAGUUUUGAAAACUGUGAUUGCAAUGGAAUAUUAAUAUGAUUUUAGAGUGAGUAUAAAAUGGGAGAUUUGAGUUAUGCAAAUUGUUUAAAAAAAAUGACAUGUUGAACUGUUUAUAUUUUAUAAAGAAAGCAUAUGUUAUAAGCAUGAUUCAUGAAAUGAAAUUUAUUGAUUGAAGGCAUGAAGCAUAAGCAUAUGAACGGUAAACGUGCAUCGAAGUGAGGUUCACAGCCCACGGGAAAUUAUACAUGGGUUAGAUUCCCAUGAAGUGCCUACUUGGGUUAGAUUCCCUUGAGGUAUUCACGAGGUACUUACUUGGGUUAGAUUCCCUUGAGGUACUAGUACUUACUUGGGUUCGAUUCCCUUGAAGUACUCACGAGGUGCUUACUUGGGUUAGAUUCCCUUGAGAUCCUCGACCAUGGGUUAGAUUCCCAUGAGGUGCCUACUUGGGUUAGAUUCCCUUGAGGUACUAGUGCUUACUUGGGUUAGAUUCCCUUGAAGCACUAUACUUGGGUUCGAUUCCCAAGGCAUAAAACCAUUAGCAUGAGCAUGCAUAGCAUUGUUUUUGUGAGUGAUGUUUUUAUACUAUGAGUAGUUUUACUAGACGUAUUAGUAUGCAUAAGAGUCUCAAUGGAAAAGAGCUUAUGUAUAUUUCUAUCGGAUGGUUGCAUGAUUUAAAUGCCAUUGUUUUCUAUAACAGAACUUCUACGUAUAAUCUUAGUCGCCUAGUAUGUUUAAAUGUUUUUCUAGUAGUCGGUGUCCGCUAUAUCAGCUAUGGGGGUUUUUAAACAAAAGCUUAUAAAAUUGGUGGCUGUUAUAGUGUACGCAUGACUAGAAAUGAAAAGUUGGUUCUUUGCGAAAACUCAGUAAAUAGUAUACCUCUGAGGUCUUAGUAUAUUUAUGUAUGCUAAGGCGGUGGGCUCAUAAUUCCACCUAUACGGAUGUGGCAAACCC